AUGAGGUGAUGGUGUGAUGAUGGUGUGGUGAUGGUGAGGUGAUGGUGUGGUGUUGGUGUGGUGAUGGUGAGGUUACUGUGUGGUAAUGGUGUGAUGAUAGUGUGGUGAUGGUGUGAUGAUAGUGAUGGUGAUGGUGUUGUGAUGGUGAGGUUUCUGUGUGGUGAUGGUGUGGUGAUGGUGUGAUGAUGGUGUGGUGAUGGUGUGAUGAUGGUGUGGUGAUGGUGUGAUGAUGGUGUGGUGAUGGUGUGGUGAUGGUGAGGUGAUGGUGUGGUGUUGGUGUGGUGAUGGUGAGGUUACUGUGUGGUAAUGGUGUGAUGAUAGUGAUGGUGAUGGUGUGGUGAUGGUGAGGUUACUGUGUGGUAAUGGUGUGAUGAUAGUGAUGGUGAUGGUGUGGUGAUGGUGAGGUUACUGUGUGGUGAUGGUGUGAUGAUGGUGGUGUGGUGAUGGUGAGGUUACUGUGUGGUAAUGGUGUGAUGAUAGUGAUGGUGAUGGUGUGGUGAUGGUGAGGUUACUGUGUGGUAAUGGUGUGAUGAUGGUGGUGUGGUGAUGGUGUGGUGAUGGUGAGGUUUCUGUGUGGUGAUGGUGUGGUGAUGGUGUGGUGAUGGUGUGGGUGAUGGUGUGAUGAUGGUGAUGGUGAGGUUACUGUGUGAUGAUGGUGUGGUGAUGGUGUGAUGAUGUUGUGGUGAUGGUAUGGUGAUGGUGUGAUGAUGGUAUGGUGAUGGUGAGGUGAUGGUGUGGUGAUGGUGUGGUGAUCGUGAGGUUACUGUGUGGUGAUGUUGUGAUGAUAGUGUGGUGAUGGUGUGGUGAUGUGAUGAUGGUGUGGUGAUGGUGAGGUUACUGUGUGGUGAUGUUGUGAUGAUAGUGUGGUGAUGGUGUGGUGAUGGUGUGAUGAUAGUGUGGUGAUGGUGUGAUGAUAGUGUGGUGAUGGUUUGAUGGUGUGGUGAUGGUGAGGUUACUGUGUGGUGAUGGUGUGAUGAUGGUGAUGGUGUGGUGAUGGUGUGAUGGUGAGGUUACUGUGUGA